GACGAACGCUGGCGGCGUGCCUAAUACAUGCAAGUCGAGCGAGCGGAACCAACAGAUUUACUUCGGUAAUGACGUUGGGAAAGCGAGCGGCGGAUGGGUGAGUAACACGUGGGGAACCUGCCCCUAAGUCUGGGAUACCAUUUGGAAACAGGUGCUAAUACCGGAUACGGUGGUCGGGGGACAUCCCCUGGCCAAGAAAGGAUUAUAUCCGCUCUGAGAUGGGCUCGCGUCUGAUUAGCUAGUUGGCGGGGUAACGGCCCACCAAGGCAACGAUCAGUAGCCGGACUGAGAGGUUGAACGGCCACAUUGGGACUGAGACACGGCCCAG
rnacentral:rRNA from 1 species